AAUAGAUACCCCGGUAGUCCACGCCGUAAACGAUGAGUGCUAAGUGUUAGAGGGUUUCCGCCCUUUAGUGCUGCAGCUAACGCAUUAAGCACUCCGCCUGGGGAGUACGGCCGCAAGGCUGAAACUCAAAAGGAAUUGACGGGGGGCCCGCACAAGCGGUGGAGCAUGUGGUUUAAUUCGAAGCAACGCGAAGAACCUUACCAGGUCUUGACAUCCUCUGACACUCCUAGAGAUAGGACUUUCCCCUUCGGGGGACAGAGUGACAGGUGGUGCAUGGUUGUCGUCAGCUCGUGUCGUGAGAUGUUGGGUUAAGUCCCGCAACGAGCGCAACCCUUGAUCUUAGUUGCCAGCAUUCAGUUUGGGCACUCUAAGGUGACUGCCGGUGACAAACCGGAGGAAGGUGGGGAUGACGUCAAAUCAUCAUGCCCCUUAUGACCUGGGCUACACACGUGCUACAAUGGAUGGUACAAAGGGCAGCAAAGCCGCGAGGCCUAGCCAAUCCCCAUAAAAACCCAUUCUCAGUUCGGAUUGUAGG
rnacentral:rRNA from 1 species